UACGUAGGGGGCAAGCGUUGUCCGGAAUUACUGGGCGUAAAGGGCGCGUAGGCGGCCUUCUAAGUCGAACGUGAAAUCCCCGGGCUCAACCCGGGAACUGCGUCCGAUACUGGAAGGCUUGAAUCCGGGAGAGGGAUGUGGAAUUCCAGGUGUAGCGGUGAAAUGCGUAGAUAUCUGGAGGAACACCGGUGGCGAAAGCGGCUCACUGGACCGUCUCUGACGCUGAGGUGCGAAAGCUAGGGUAGCAAACGGG
rnacentral:rRNA from 1 species